UUCAGCAUCUUGCUCUUCACAAAACAAUGAUGUCCAUAAGCAUGGGCAACAAUUUACGCAUUAUACAUAUAUGUAAUGCAUUUUUAACAAAUCAAUGUGUAGUACUUUCCAGAAUCAAUGAAUAUACUUAGCGAGGCGUUAAAUGGCAACGAUAAAACUGCAGCUGUGGGGCAACCGCCGUUCUUUAUGGCUGUUUUGGAUAGUUUAACUGUGCACAGUAAAAUGUCGCUGAUCCACAGCCUCAAUCAAAAAGUUCCAUACCUGCGCCGGCUUUAGUAGAAAGCUAUGUACGGUUCCUCGUUCACACCAAAAUCGAACCGGUGGGCAUUAAGAGGAUUCUUGCCAAUUGCUGCUCGCUGUUUUCAAGCAUCAAUACUACAUAUACUGCGUGAAAUGUUCCUAUAUCGUUUACAUCACAACCAGCCCAGCAUCGCGGUCAGCUACUUUACACUGUGCGACCGUUUCGCAAUUGAAUUUGUGGUGAAAGCCCGCUAAUCACUGGACUUAGUAAUGCAACCACAAAUAUCUCGUUAUUUCAGCGAACAACUACCUGUUUCUGUGGCAUCGAGCGAAAGUGAUAAUCUGAAUCGUGUGUUGAUACUAACGUUGGGAUUUUCUUUGCACAUGACUAGACUCGUAUUAUAAUGCAAAAUAAGCCAUAUUCGUGAGCAUUGCCCUUGCUAGCUUGCUUUCCACCUGCUUUAAAUGCAUUUUUCGUGCAAAAUAGUCAUCAUUUGGAGAAAAAGCAGUUGCUUAAAAGGCAGUUGAAGAAGAAUAUCGUAACUGGACGAUGUCAAAUGACUACGACCAUCAUUUUAUGCGGCCUAGCACAAGUACACUUUUCCUUUGUUUACUUUCCAAAAUGAUUUGGGAAACGGAGAAUGUCAGUGCAGUGGCAUAUAUGUAUGUAACACCGCCUGUUUCUUCAAUGAAUUCCCCAAUGCGCCAGCACAUGCCCUGUAUGUUACAUGCGUUUAGCUACUCAGUUUGCCAAUCGCGCCCUCAAUCGUAGCAAGUAUUGUGGGGAAUGGUAUUGUGAAGGGUUAUUUACAAAAAGAGAUACACUACUACAUCAAUUCUGUUGGUAUAAUACUCGCUGCUCUGCCUGAGCCACAUCGGAGUGUAAAUGAACACCAUGGCGAGCCGGUGAUACGUACCGCAUUCCAGUGUUUUCAGAUGGUAUUUACGGAUUUUUUAAUUGUUAAGCCUUGCGUUGCCCACAGCUUUGCAUAGUCACUGCGGCAAAGUUUAACCCGCCCACAUGGCAGGCACUCAUUUGGCAAGUUAUAUCUGCGUUGCUGUAUAAUCUGCGUGCGCUUUCCAGUAUGGAAAGCAGUGCCAGCGGCAAGAUAUUGAUACACCAGUCGCGCAAUACAAGCUUAAGCGAGAGAGCACCUUUGAAUUAAAAUGCAUGCCCUUCGCGUUGAUGGGCCUGCUUACUAACAACAGCAUCGAACACGACAGGAAUGGUGAGAUGAUGGUUCGUUAGGGUUCGUCUUAAAUCAUGCAUACCGAAGCGGAGUAUUCAACACAGCGCAAAAGCAAUGCACGAAGAGGCAGAGGCUGCCGCUGUUGGGCGUGUGCAGGAUUUUCAAUCUGACAAUUUCUCAAACUUGAACCGGAUACUACUAAAUUUGGAAACCCGGAGAAACUG